rnacentral:rRNA from 1 species
AUUGAACGCUGGCGGCAUGCCUUACACAUGCAAGUCGAACGGUAACAGGUCUUCGGAUGCCGACGAGUGGCGAACGGGUGAGUAAUACAUCGGAACGUGCCUAGUAGUGGGGGAUAACUACUCGAAAGAGUGGCUAAUACCGCAUGAGAUCUACGGAUGAAAGCAGGGGAUCGCAAGACCUUGUGCUACUAGAGCGGCCGAUGGCAGAUUAGGUAGUUGGUGGGAUAAAAGCUUACCAAGCCGACGAUCUGUAGCUGGUCUGAGAGGACGAUCAGCCACACUGGGACUGGGACACGGCCCAGACUCCUACGGGAGGCAGAAGUGGGGAAUUUUGGACAAUGGGCGCAAGCCUGAUCCAGCAAUGCCGCGUGCAGGAUGAAGGCCUUCGGGUUGUAAACUGCUUUUGUACGGAACGAAAAGCCCUGGGUUAAUACCCUGGGGUCAUGACGGUACCGUAAGAAUAAGCACCGGCUAACUACGUGCCAGCCGCCGCGGUAAGAC